rnacentral:lncRNA from 1 species
UUUAUUUAUUUUUUUUUUUUUUUUUUUGUAUAUAGUAAUUUUAAGAUUAUUACAAAUGCAAAAUUACGAUUAUGAGUUUAGAACAAAAAAAAAAAAAUAAAAAAAAAAAAAAUAUUAUAUUACAUAUAUAUUUAUAUAUUGUCAUAAUUAUUAGACAAAUGUGAGUACCAUUUUUUUUUUUUUUUUUACAUGUGAAUAAUAAUAUACUGCUUAAAAUUUCUUAAGGUCCCUUUAAUAACAUUCACUGGUGAUUAAUAUUAUUUAACAUCACAUACUAACAUAUUACAACAAAAAUUAAGGUGUCAUGUUAUAAUAUACCCAUUAAGCUUGAUUACGUACGUAUAUGUACACACGCCUAUACAUAUACAUAUAUAUAAAUAUAUUUAUUGAUACAUUAUAUUAUUCCUAGAUGUUAAAGCUUAUAACAUAUAUGCUAUUUAUAUUUAUUAUUGAUGUUUAAUAUAAAAAUAAAAAAUUAGUUAUACAACAACAAAAAAAUAAGCUAGAUAUGUAUAUAUAAAGAUAUAUGUAUGUAUUGACAUUAAGUGUAUUACAUGUAUAUGCUAAUAAAAUAUAUGUAAGUCAAAAAAAAAAAAAAAAUAGUUUAUUUUUAGUUUAUAAUUCUUUGAAUAUAAAAAAAAAAAAAAAAAAAAAAAAAAAAAAAAAAAAAAAAAAAAUCAAUAAAUAAAUAAAUAUAGGCAUAUGUGUAUAUAUAUAUUUCUCCUAUUUACGUCAUACAUGCAUACGCAAAACGCGUAGUUUUAUUUAAUAAGUCUGAGUAAUUCUAAAUAUAUAUAUAUAUAUAUAUAUGU